GUGUGCGUUGCUUGCUCUCCUUACCUUCCCUUUCUUGCCACUAUCUUUUUUCCCGGCCCUUCCCUCCCUACCCGUCCCCAUUCGCUCGAGGCAGAGAAAGAAGACGUGGAGGGUACGCCGUGCCGCAUGCAAGUUACCAAACACGCACCUACACACACUGACCGCCACCAGAUCACACGCUUUUCUCUCUUUGAAGGGCAAAAAGGGGGCAUUUUUUCUUUUUCUGUAUACAUACAGACGUGUGACAUGCACCCAGUCCAUCAGAGUGACACCCCAACCCCUUUCAUCAUCUUUUCAUUUUGUGUGCGUGUGUGUGACCGAAAGGGAGAGAGGGAAAAAAAAGACACACACACACACACAAAAAGCACAUCACCGACCUGUCUUUUCGCUUCUAUCAUCUGUAUAUAUGCACGCUCGAUGGAUAGCGUACUUUCUUCUUGCUUUCCUUCCCUUUUUUUUUCGCGUGUGUGCCUGUGUGUAUGUGUAUGCACGCGCGUGUGCUUGUUUAUUUUUCUCCUUGUGUGAUGCUUGUGUCUUCUCUGCCUUUCUUCUUCCCUUUUCGCCGUGUAUGUGUCUCGCCUGGAAACUCUGUGACGCAAACACGCACACAAACACACCGACGCAUGCUUCUAUAAAUCUAUGUAUGCAUGUAUGCGUUUUGUGUGGGCGAGAGAGAAAGAGGAGGUGGGAUGGCUGAAGGUAACGUAUCGGCACGAGAUC
rnacentral:misc_RNA from 1 species